rnacentral:rRNA from 1 species
UGCGUAGGCGGACUAAUAAGUCAGUGGUGAAAUCUUUCGGCUCAACCGAGAAACCGCCAUUGAUACUGUUAGUCUUGAGUUCGGUUGAGGUAGGCGGAAUGUGUAAUGUAGCGGUGAAAUGCUUAGAUAUUACACAGAACACCAAUUGCGUAGGCAGCUUACUAGACCGACACUGACGCUGAGGCACGAAAGCGUGGGGAGCGAACAGGAUUAGAUACCCUGGUAGUC